UAUCCUGUCUGAAUAUGGGGGGACCAUCCUCCAAGGCUAAAUACUCCUGACUGACCGAUAGUGAACCAGUACCGUGAGGGAAAGGCGAAAAGAACCCCGGCGAGGGGAGUGAAAAAGAACCUGAAACCGUGUACGUACAAGCAGUGGGAGCCCCACCACUAAGCCAGUGGUGAACUCCACAUCCGCAUCCUUUGCUGAGGAUACGGUUAACGGAGCGAAAGCGACGUUCAACCGCAAAACAAGCAGAGGGGGCUUAGUGGUGGGGUGACUGCGUACCUUUUGUAUAAUGGGUCAGCGACUUAUAUUCUGUAGCAAGGUUAACCGAAUAGGGGAGCCGGAGGGAAACCGAGUCUUAAUUGGGCGUUAAGUUGCAGGGUAUAGACCCGAAACCCGGUGAUCUAGCCAUGGGCAGGUUGAAGGUUGGGUAACACUAACUGGAGGACCGAACCGACUAAUGUUGAAAAAUUAGCGGAUGACCUGUGGCUGGGGGUGAAAGGCCAAUCAAACCGGGAGAUAGCUGGUUCUCCCCGAAAGCUAUUUAGGUAGCGCCUCGUGAAUUCAUCUCCGGGGGUAGAGCACUGUUUCGGCUAGGGGGCCAUCCCGGCUUACCAACCCGAUGCAAACUGCGAAUACCGGAGAAUGUUAUCACGGGAGACACACGGCGGGUGCUAACGUCCGUCGUGAAGAGGGAAACAACCCAGACCGCCAGCUAAGGUCCCAAAGUCAUGGUUAAGUGGGAAACGAUGUGGGAAGGCCCAGACAGCCAGGAUGUUGGCUUAGAAGCAGCCAUCAUUUAAAGAAAGCGUAAUAGCUCACUGGUCGAGUCGGCCUGCGCGGAAGAUGUAACGGGGCUAAACCAUGCACCGAAGCUGCGGCAGCGAACGUAUCACCCAAGACAACUUUACGGAGUUGACGAUUGACGGAGCGAAGCGACGUCAAAGCGUUCAUUAAAGUCGAGUUGGCUUAGGGAUACGUUCGUUGGGUAGGGGAGCGUUCUGUAAGCCUGUGAAGGUGUGUCGUGAGGCAUGCUGGAGGUAUCAGAAGUGCGAAUGCUGACAUAAGUAACGAUAAAGCGGGUGAAAAGCCCGCUCGCCGGAAGACCAAGGGUUCCUGUCCAACGUUAAUCGGGGCAGGGUGAGUCGACCCCUAAGGCGAGGCCGAAAGGCGUAGUCGAUGGGAAACGGGUUAAUAUUCCCGUACUUGGUGUUACUGCGAAGGGGGGACGGAGAAGGCUAUGUUGGCCGGGCGACGGUUGUCCCGGUUUAAGCGUGUAGGUGUGUGUUCCAGGUAAAUCCGGUUCACUUUAACACUGAGGCGUGACGACGAGGCACUACGGUGCUGAAGCAACAAAUGCCCUGCUUCCAGGAAAAGCCUCUAAGCAUCAGGUAACAUCAAAUCGUACCCCAAACCGACACAGGUGGUCAGGUAGAGAAUACCAAGGCGCUUGAGAGAACUCGGGUGAAGGAACUAGGCAAAAUGGUGCCGUAACUUCGGGAGAAGGCACGCUGACACGUAGGUGAAGUGAUUUACUCAUGGAGCUGAAGUCAGUCGAAGAUACCAGCUGGCUGCAACUGUUUAUUAAAAACACAGCACUGUGCAAACACGAAAGUGGACGUAUACGGUGUGACGCCUGCCCGGUGCCGGAA
rnacentral:rRNA from 1 species